GAUGAAGAACGUAGCGAAAUGCGAUAAGUAAUGUGAAUUGCAGAAUUCAGUGAAUCAUCGAAUCUUUGAACGCACCUUGCGCUCUUUGGUAUUCCGAAGAGCAUGCCUGUUUGAGUGUCAUGAAAAUAUCAACCUUGACUUGGGUUUUGUGCUCUAGUCUCGGCUUGGAAUUGGGUGCUUGCCGCCUUUACGAGCGGCUCACCUUAAAUGUAUUAGCUGGAUCUGUCUUUGAUACUUGGUUUGACUUGGCGUAAUAAGUAUUUCGCUAAGGACAUUCUUCGGAGUGGCCUCGUUUCUAGGACGCUUGUCCGCUUUCCAAUACAAGUUCCACCUCGUGGACAUGACUUUUUAUUAUCUGGCCUCAAAUCAGGUAGGACUACCCGCUGACCUUAAGCAUAUCAAUAAGCGGAGGA
rnacentral:misc_RNA from 1 species